UACGGGGGGAGCAAGCGUUGUUCGGAUUUACUGGGCGUAAAGGGCGCGUAGGCGGUCGUGACAAGUCACUUGUGAAAUCUCCGGGCUUAACUCGGAACGGUCAAGUGAUACUGUCGGACUAGAGUACAGAAGGGGCAACUGGAAUUCUCGGUGUAGCGGUGAAAUGCGCAGAUAUCAGGAGGAACACCAAUGGCGAAGGCAGCUCGCUGGGACGGUACUGACGCUGAGACGCGAAAGCGUGGGGAGCAAACAGG
rnacentral:rRNA from 1 species